CUAAUAUAUAUGUGCAUUUAUUGACGAGUACCCAAUGGCAGCAAUUGCACUGGACUACCGUGCCUCAAUGAGGAGGACCAAUAACUCCUGAUGAACUGAAGCUUGGAACGGUAGUCCUACAGGAUCGUGGUACUAAUCCAUGUCCAGCACGAGACUUUACUCAAAAGGUGGCAUGUGUCCUUCAGGGCUUUGGAGUCCAAUUAUUUUACAGAUCAACGAAUUUUCAUGGUCAUCCAUGUAUCACUUCAAAUGAUGAUUUCACACUGCGGCGGAUAAGGUGCAGAACAUUCAAUAUCAAGUUACAAGGGCCAACACCACACGCAACCCCGUCAGAUAAUGCGCUGAGAGCUCCUCACUUCAUAUCUCCCAACUCCCCUCAACUUCAAGUUUGACUCGGAGUCCCGAUCAAAUUGCCUCUGUUGUUUUAUAGACAUAGUUGAAGAUGAACCGAACAGGCCUAAAACUAAAUCAACUGCCGGCUGAAUUGCUUCAUCAGAUCUUUCGAGAUGUUGAAUACCAAGAUCGGAAGAGCCUUCGCUUAGUUUGCAAGAUGUUUGCAAGUGCGUGUGCUAAAUACAUGACUCGCUCCUGCACAUUAAGCACAACGCAUGACUCCUUGAGGAAAUUGAAGCACAUGGCAACACAUCCCAUCUUUUCUGCUUACAUCGAAGUCCUUGCGCUUGAUUGCUCCUUCCUGGUCCAUAUCCC
rnacentral:sRNA from 1 species